GUGCUUGCUUCGGCAGCACACAUAGUACAAUUAGAAUGAUAUAGAGAAGAUUAGCAUGGCCCCUGCACAAGGAUGACAUGCAAAUUCGUGACGUGUUCCAUAUUUUU